ensembl:snoRNA
AAGGCUAUACUUUCAGGGAUCAUUUCUAUAGUUGGUGACUAGAGAAACUUCUCUGAUUGUGUAGAGUACCAGAAACCAUGAGGAGGAGGUGUAACGUUUCUUCCUGAGCGUGAAGCCGGCUGUUGGUGUCGCUUUGGUGCGACUCCCGCUAGCCGUUGAUGAUCGUUCUUGUUCUCUUCCCGGAGGGGACGAGGGGGGAGGAACGCAGUCUGAGUGGGU